rnacentral:rRNA from 1 species
UAGUCAUAUGCUUGUCUCAAAGAUUAAGCCUUGCAUGUCUAAGUAUAAGCAAUCUAUACGGUGAAACUGCGAAUGGCUCAUUAAAUCAGUUAUCGUUUAUUUGAUAGUACCUUACUACUUGGAUAACCGUGGUAAUUCUAGAGCUAAUACAUGCUAAAAACCCCGACUUCGGAAGGGGUGUAUUUAUUAAAUAAAAAACCAAUGCCCUUCGGGGCUCCUUGGUGAUUCAUAAUAACUUAACGAAUCGCAUGGCCUUGUGCCGGCAAUGGUUCAUUCAAAUUUCUGCCCUAUCAACUUUCGAUUGUAAGGUAGUGGCUUACAAUGGUUUCAACGGGUAACGGGGAAUUAGGGUUCUAUUCCGGAAAGGGAGCCUGAGAAACGGCUACCACAUCCAAGGAAGGCAGCAGGCGCGCAAAUUACCCAAUCCCGACACGGGGAGGUAGUGACAAUAAAUACUGAUACAGGGCUCUUUUGGGUCUUGUAAUUGGAAUGAGUACAAUUUAAAUCCCUUAACGAGGAACAAUU